rnacentral:lncRNA from 1 species
GAUCAUGAGAGAUAAUUGGAUCAUGGGGAGGUGUAUGGAUCCUAGGAAGGUAAUUGGAUCAUGGGAAGGUAAUGGAUCAUGGGAAGGUUAUGGAUCAUGGGAAGAUGUGUGGAUCCUAGGAAGGUAAUUAGCUCAUGGGAGUGUGUAUGGAUCAUGAGAGAUAAUUGGAUCAUGGGAAGGUGUGUAUGGAUCAUAGGAAGGUAAUUGGAUCAUAGGAGUGUGUAUGGAUCCUAGGAAGGUAAUUGGAUCAUGGGAGUGUGUAUUGAUCAUAAGAAGAUAAUUGGAUCAUGGGGAGGUAAUUGGAUCAUGGGAAGGUGUAUGGAUCCUAGGAAGGUAAUUGGAUCAUGGGAGUGUGUAUGGAUCAUUUGAAGAUAAUUGGAUCAUGGGAAGGUAAUUGGAUCAUGGGAAGGUAAUGGAUCAUGGGAAGGUGUGUGGAUCGUGGGAAGAUAAUUGGAUCAGGGGAAGGUAAUGGAUCAUGGGAAGGUGUGUGGAUCCUAGGAAGGUAAUUGGAUCAUGGUAUGCAAUAUGGAUCUUAGGAAGGUAUAAGGAUCAUGGGAAGGAACGUCUUAACAGUUGUGUUUUGCAAUUCUCUUAGUUACCCCACUCUUCCCCAAGCCUUAUAUUCUUGAUUGCUCAAUGUUUAUGUACGUUGCAGUUUCAGUGCCAUCGUAAUGUUUUCUUUGCUUCGUCUCGUGUGCACUAUAAUCCAAUACAUGCUGUAUUCGACACAUUAAAAACAUUAGACGUCCAUAUACAUAAACUAGGGUUGUCUUAACUUGGUAGAGCAUCGGAGUAAUUUAGUGUGAGGCUGUGUCAGGUAAAAUACUUUUGUUGUUCAACUCUCAGGAGUAAUUUCACCUGUUAGCAUUUUUUCUUCAAAACACAUAUCUCCAAGUCUUUUGUCUCUGAUUAGUACAAGAAAAAUGCUAAUAGGUACCUAGCAGCAAAUAAUUUCUUGCUUUUUUAUAUGCUAAAAGGUUACUUAAAUUGUAUUCUUUGCCUCCUUAUGAUCAUUUUAUUGGUCUGGCAUAAAAAAUUCAUACAAGAUGCAUACAGUAUUGAAUUAUAGAGAACACAUGACAUUUUGUAUACCAGAUGCAAAUUGUUUACACAACCAUGUGUUUAUGUGUCAAAUGCAGGCGUUAUAUCUACUGGUGUUGAUCAAAGAUAUGUUUUCCAGAUUAUGGAAAAAGAAUUAGCUUUAAAUAUAGUAUACAUAUCUUGUUGGCAGAUUUUCAAGUAAACACUGUUUCACAAAGUAUUGAUAUAUGUACAUAUGUGAUUGGGUACUCAAGUUGAAUUCAGUAGAUAUGGGAGGUUGCAUCUUUAACAUAAUUUUGAAAUAUGUAUUUUUGUUAAUAUUGUUGAUAACUUGGUAACAGAAAUGAGCUAUUUACAAAAAAUAUUAGAAAUAAGGUCUUUGUCUCCAUAUUCCACGUAGAUAUGAAAUCCAGCGGAAUAUGGUAAGAAACAUGAGCAUGGUAGAAGGUGUACCUUUACUAAGAAAGGUCAGUAGCUGGUGUUUGCUUUAUUGUAUAACACCGUCUAUAGACUCUGUGCUCAGAUUCCUAUCACUGAACUUCUGUGUUGAUCCAGCUGCAGAUAAAGAUGUAUCAACUUCAAGUCUGCUGAUCUUACAUUGGGUACUGUAGAAGUAUUUGGCAACUCUCCUCAGGAAGUUCAGUGUGGUUUAGUCUCAACACUGCAUGUGGUGGGCAUUAAACAAGGCUAGUUCUCGACAGUCUACUCACUGAUCUAAGAGUGAAAUGUCAUCAACAGGAUAUAUAGAGGAUACUAAACGACCUGUGUAAUACCAAUCUUAUUAAACGAGUUAAUGAUUUGG